rnacentral:rRNA from 1 species
UACGGAGGAGGCAAGCGUUAUCCGGAAUUAUUGGGCGUAAAGCGCGUGUAGGCGGCUUGGUAAGUCUGGUGUGAAACCUCGGGGCUCAACCCCGAGCCUGCACUGGAUACUGCCUCGCUCGAGUCCGGGAGGGGAGAGCGGAAUUCCUAGUGUAGCGGUGAAAUGCGCAGAUAUUAGGAAGAACACCGGUGGCGAAGGCGGCUCUCUGGAACGGUACUGACGCUGAGACGCGAAAGCGUGGGGAGCAAACAGG